AUGCUCUGGUUUCUCUUGAAAUUGUACAAAUCUUUUGCCUUUUACUAAAGAUUUCCGUGGAGAGAAAUAUUUAUGAGUUUCGACAAAUUUUUUGAUGCCCUGUUUUUGCAGGGCU